AGUGGCGAACGGGUGAGUAACACGUGAGUAACCUGCCCUUGACUCUGGGAUAAGCCUGGGAAACUGGGUCUAAUACCGGAUAUGACCAUCUGACGCAUGUCAUGGUGGUGGAAAGCUUUUGUGGUUUUGGAUGGACUCGCGGCCUAUCAGCUUGUUGGUGGGGUAAUGGCCUACCAAGGCGACGACGGGUAGCCGGCCUGAGAGGGUGACCGGCCACACUGGGACUGAGACACGGCCCAGACUCCUACGGGAGGCAGCAGUGGGGAAUAUUGCACAAUGGGCGGAAGCCUGAUGCAGCGACCCCGCGUGAGGGAUGACGGCCUUCGGGUUGUAAACCUCUUUCAGUAGGGAAGAAGCGAAAGUGACGGUACCUGCAGAAGAAGCGCCGGCUAACUACGUGCCAGCAGCCGCGGUAAUACGUAGGGCGCAAGCGUUAUCCGGAAUUAUUGGGCGUAAAGAGCUCGUAGGCGGUUUGUCGCGUCUGCUGUGAAAGACCGGGGCUCAACUCCGGUUCUGCAGUGGGUACGGGCAGACUAGAGUGCAGUGGGGGAGAGGGAAUUCCUGGUGUAGCGGUAAAGUGCGCAUAUAUCGGGAGGAACACGGUGG
rnacentral:rRNA from 1 species